AUUAACUUUAAUUAACACAACUUAACUCAAAGCAUCAUGAAAUGACUGAUCAUUCAUUUUAUGAUGCUUUCAUUGUUUAAGACUCUAAAGAGUUUUGACAUUCUCCUUAACCGAAACUGUGUAAACAGAUUCGUUGUUCUACGCAAUGAUCACCCCAAUCAUUGCGUUUUUUUUGUUUUCAAAUUUAAGCA
rnacentral:sRNA from 1 species